UACGUAGGCGGAAAUCUAAGUCAGUGGUGAAAUCCCGCAGCUCAACUGUGGAACUGUUAUUGAUACUGGUUUUCUUGAAUAUAGUUGAGGUAAGCGGAAUGUGUAAUGUAGCGGUGAAAUGCUUAGAUAUUACACAGAACACCGAUUGCGAAGGCAGCUUACUAAGCUAUGAUUGACGCUGAGGUACGAAAGCGUGGGGAGCGAACAGGAUUAGAUACCCUGGUAGUCC
rnacentral:rRNA from 1 species